rnacentral:tRNA from 1 species
GCCAAUUUGGCUCAGUGGAUAGAGCGUCGGCCUGCGGACUCAAGGUUACCAGGUUCAAUUCCGGUCAAGGGCA